AAGUCUUUACGGAGAAAGCUUUAUGCGCCGAAGGAUGAGCCUGCAUUUGAUUAGUUUGUUGGUGGGGUAAUGGCCUACCAAGACUUUGAUCAAUAGCUGAUCUGAGAGGAUGAUCAGCCACAUUGGGACUGAGACACGGCCCAAACUCCUACGGGAGGCAGCAGUAGGGAAUAUUGCACAAUGGAGGAAACUCUGAUGCAGCGAUGCCGCGUGAGUGAA
rnacentral:rRNA from 1 species